rnacentral:rRNA from 1 species
UACGGGGGGGGCAAGCGUUGUUCGGAAUUACUGGGCGUAAAGGGUUCGUAGGUGGCUUGCUAAGUCAGACGUGAAAUCCCUCAGCUUAACUGGGGAACUGCGUCUGAUACUGGCGAGCUUGAGUGCAGGAGAGGAACGCAGAAUUCCAGGUGUAGCGGUGAAAUGCGUAGAUAUCAAGAGGAACACCUGAGGCGAAGGCGGGUUGCUAGGCUGACACUGACGCUGAGUGCGCGAAAGCCAGGGGAGCAAACGGG